rnacentral:miRNA from 1 species
UGGGUUGGCCAGAAAGUUCGUUUGGGUUUUUCCAUAGGAUGUUACAGGAAAAUCUGGGUGAGCUUUUUGGCCAACCC